GCCUUGCUAGCUCAAUCGGUAGAGCGUGAGACUUUUACGCAUAGACGAAUUUGUCAUAGCAAUAUCUCAAGGUUGCGGGUUCGACCCCCGCGUGAGGCU
rfam:Sphaerobolus stellatus SS14 unplaced genomic scaffold SPHSTscaffold_148, whole genome shotgun sequence.